GCCUCUAUACACAGCAGCUUGAACACAUGGAGAGUGCAUAGAGGGAGUGGGUGUCCUGGACAGGACCUAGCACUUUCCGAAGACAGCCGCAGACCGAAUCCCCAGUGUGUGAAUGGAGGACUCAGGAUGAAGGCUUUGCGUCUUGUCCAUUAUGCUUUGAACCCUCAGCCUAACUUUUAAAGGGAAGAAAAUGGGGGCCUAAAGAGGAUCCAUCAGAGAAGGAGGCAGGGAGGGGAAAGCGAUCAUUUCAUCCGCUCAACAAGUGUCCAUGAACAUCAAACUUGUCUCAGGCCCUGGGCCAGGUGCAGGGACCCAAAGAGGACUCCAAGUACCCCAAGGGCCAGGACCUUGUCUCGUUCCUCUCUCCUCUCUCCGGCACGUUGCAGGGGUCGUGGAAUGCACACCGGUCACAGGAGGGCGAGCGGAAAUGAGCCCGGUGCGUUCCUCCAGCAGCAAGCCAGCGGGCCAACUGGUGCUUCCUGGAACCCAUCACCAUCUCAGCCCCCUUUUAGUUGUGUGAUUUUAAGCAAGUUGCCUAACAUUACCGAUUCUCAAUAUUUUCAUCCGUAAAAGGUGAAGAAAAGAAUACCUAGGUCCUAAGGCUGCUGGGGGGCAGAGGAUCAGGAUGUUGGACGUAGGAGUGUCAUGUAUUUCCUGGAAGAUGUGGGCACUGGCCACUGGUGGAGUUGAAGGUCCGUUCGGUCACGUUGGCAGGCUGGUGGGUGGAGAAAUGCUCUGCCUUCCCCUCAGGCAGUCCUGACAGAGGGGACCAGAGGGCCAGAGCCUGACGUGCCUCCUUCAGAAUUUAAAUAAACUUCAGCCAGAGACUCAAAUUUAGUCAAACACAUGGUUAUUUUUUAUCAUCUUAAUCAUGUGUCUGUUUCUUUUUGGUUUAUUAGAGCCUGUUUUUACCCAGACUCUACAAAUUGACCCUGACUGUGCUCUUAAAAAAUUAAAAACCUCCGCUUAGUUUCACUUCUGCAUCAAACAGACAGCGUAAACAUGGGUCACCUGUUUUUGAGUCUCCGUGGGAGAGUUUGGCAUCGAACAUCGUCCCACCGCGACCUAUCCCUGAGUGUCUCGGCAAGCACCCCCGAGCACCAGGAUUCCUGAGCACCUGGAGGUCAGAAAAGCCAGGAUGCCGAAAGCUCCCUGGGCUCCCAAAGCACCUGCGGCCACGGACAGACAUCACCCAUACCCCGCCCCGCCCCACCCGGCCCAAGAGAAGGAAACAGCCUCUGGUCAGACCACAGGCAGAGGCAGGCCCUGCCAGAUGCCCAGCCCAGCUGUGCUUCUGAAACCUGCGGUUCUUCCAGCGAAUCCUCCACCCGGUGUAUCAGCAGAGGGAGCUCUAGCUAGCAAAUAACUUUCCUCCGACCGCAUCCUUCCUGGAGAAGAGAUCCAGAGACAGCAGGGAAAAGCAAGCGCCUAAGGGGAGCUGGCGCCCCUGCCGUGCAGAAGGAAACCCCACCAGUUGGCAAGGGCGGGGCUUGGGGGUUGGGGGGAGGAGGAGAGACCCCUUCCCCCCGCCCUCCCCCAUGAAGAAAGGAAGUGAGAAAAUCAGAAACCACCGAAUUUCUGCAGAGGUUGUCUGGCCUUGUUCUGCCCCAGCACCUUGGGUCCCCGGGGGCUCACAGCCUUUCUGCUGUCCUCCCAGUGCAUGAUGUUCAAA
rnacentral:lncRNA from 1 species